UACCAUAGUGGCGCACGGGUGCGUAACGCGUAACCAACUUGCCCUGAACUGGGGGAUAGCCCGCCGAAAGGCGGAUUAAUACCGCAUAAGAUAAGGUGGCGGCAUCGUCUCUUUAUUGAAGAUUUAUUGGUUCAGGAUGGGGUUGCGUGCCAUUAGCUGGUUGGGGGGUAACGGCCCACCAAGGCGACGAUGGCUAGGGGAGCUGAGAGGCUGGUCCCCCACACGGGCACUGAGAUACGGGCCCG
rnacentral:rRNA from 1 species